GAGUUAUAGUCUAACCUAAAUCGUAAAGCUGUUAACUUUAAGACGCUAUUUCAAUGGCUUACUCCUUUUAAGAUAGUU
rnacentral:tRNA from 1 species